rnacentral:sRNA from 22 species
AAUUGUGUGAGGAGUGAGAAGAAAGCAAAGUCCUUGGGGUCGAAACACGGCAAGACUCCCGAGGGCUUUUCCAU